AGGGAACGCGAGGCAGCGCGGCCUGGGGGUGGCGGGGCCCCGUGCGCCCUGCGCCGCCCGCGGCCCGUGGCCCGCCCCUGACGCGGCUUCCCGGGAGCCGGAAGCUGUCGGCUCCCCCCACACCCCACCCCCGUCAGACCCCAGCACCUUUUUCUUCCCUCCAAGAAGGUAUGUGAAUGCUUUCGUCACUCGUCUCCGAGAGCGGGAAUGUGAGGGAAUCUCGGUUCAUUUCUCGUGGAGACAGGGGGUCCCUUUUAAUUCCCUCAGUGCGUCAGUAUGAAAGGAGCGUGACCCAGAACAAAUCCCUUUUUUCUUUUCCUAAGCACAUGCACAAUCCCUUCCCAAAGCAGAUAAAGGAAUCAUCUUUGACCUCAACUUUUUUGGAGCUACUGUGCAGAUUCACUACAGAAAUGUGCUAUAGAAUUCCUUAAACCCUAUCCUUACCUACAAAGUAGGGGGGAGAAAACAAAAAACAAACAAACAAAACAAAACAAAAUUUAAAAAACGCUGACAAAGAGAAGAGAAUAACCAACGGGUUGUCCUGAAACCGAUAAACAACUUAAAGGUAAGAAAAGACUCAUCCUUUUACUAACUUAACCCUGGCCACCACCUCUACCACUUCUGGGUCACCCACCCCUUAUCAAAUCCUAGAUAAAAACUCUGAAAGAAGG
rnacentral:lncRNA from 1 species